rnacentral:rRNA from 1 species
GAUGAACGCUGGCGGCGUGCCUAAUACAUGCAAGUCGAGCGAACAGACGAGGAGCUUGCUCCUCUGACGUUAGCGGCGGACGGGUGAGUAACACGUGGAUAACCUACCUAUAAGACUGGGAUAACUUCGGGAAACCGGAGCUAAUACCGGAUAACAUGUUGAACCGCAUGGUUCAACAGUGAAAGACGGUCUUGCUGUCACUUAUAGAUGGAUCCGCGCCGCAUUAGCUAGUUGGUAAGGUAACGGCUUACCAAGGCGACGAUGCGUAGCCGACCUGAGAGGGUGAUCGACCACACUGGCAGUGAGACACGGUCCAGACACCUACAGGGGGCAGCAGUAGGGAAUCUUCCGCAAUGGGCGAAAGCCUGACGGAGCAACGCCGCGUGAGUGAAGAAGGUCUUCGGCUCGUUGAACUCUGUUAGUAGUAAAGAACAAAUGUGUUUGUAACUGUGCCCGUCUUGACGGUACCUGAACAGAAAGCCACGGCUAACUACGUG